rnacentral:rRNA from 1 species
UUUUAUUUGAGAGUUUGAUCCUGGCUCAGGAUGAACGCUGGCGGCGUGCCUAACACAUGCAAGUUGAGCGAUUUACUUCGGUAAAGAGCGGCGGACGGGUGAGUAACGCGUGGGUAACCUACCCUGUACACACGGAUAACAUACCGAAAGGUAUGCUAAUACGGGAUAAUAUAUUUGAGAGGCAUCUCUUGAAUAUCAAAGGUGAGCCAGUACAGGAUGGACCCGCGUCUGAUUAGCUAGU